AGGGAUCAUUACCGAGUUUACAACUCCCAAACCCCUGUGAACAUACCAAUUGUUGCCUCGGCGGAUCAGCCCGCUCCCGGUAAAACGGGACGGCCCGCCAGAGGACCCCUAAACUCUGUUUCUAUAUGUAACUUCUGAGUAAAACCAUAAAUAAAUCAAAACUUUCAACAACGGAUCUCUUGGUUCUGGCAUCGAUGAAGAACGCAGCAAAAUGCGAUAAGUAAUGUGAAUUGCAGAAUUCAGUGAAUCAUCGAAUCUUUGAACGCACAUUGCGCCCGCCAGUAUUCUGGCGGGCAUGCCUGUUCGAGCGUCAUUUCAACCCUCAAGCCCCCGGGUUUGGUGUUGGGGAUCGGCGAGCCCUUGCGGCAAGCCGGCCCCGAAAUCUAGUGGCGGUCUCGCUGCAGCUUCCAUUGCGUAGUAGUAAAACCCUCGCAACUGGUACGCGGCGCGGCCAAGCCGUUAAACCCCCAACUUCUGAAUGUUGACCUCGGAUCAGGUAGGAAUACCCGCUGAACUUAAGCAU
rnacentral:rRNA from 1 species